rnacentral:tRNA from 1 species
GUUUAGAUCGUCUAGUGGUUAGGACAUUGCGUUGUGUCUGCAAUAACCCAGGUUUGAGUCCUGGUCUGGACA